rnacentral:rRNA from 1 species
CCUACGGGUGUCUGCAGUGAGGAAUAUUGGUCAAUGGCCGAGAGGCUGAACCAGCCAAGUCGCGUGAGGGAAGACGGCCCUACGGGUUGUAAACCUCUUUUGUAGGGGAGCAAAGCGAACCACGUGUGGUUCAUUGAGAGUACCCGAAGACAAAGCAUCGGCUAACUCCGUGCCAGCAGCCGCGGUAAGACGGAGGAUGCGAGCGUUAUCCGGAUUUAUUGGGUUUAAAGGGUGCGCAGGCGGAGGUGGAAGUCAGCGGUCAAAUUGCGGGGCUCAACCCCGUACUGCCGUUGAACCUGCAUCCCUUGAGUGCGCGAGAAGUAUGCGGAAUGCGUGGGGUAGCGGUGAAAUGCAUAGAUAUCACGCAGAACUCCGAUUGCGAAGGCAGCAUACCGGCGCGCAACUGACGCUCAUGCACGAAAGCGUGGGUAUCGAACAGGAUUAGAUACCCUAGUAGUC